rnacentral:rRNA from 1 species
AACGAACGCUGGCGGCAUGCCUAACACAUGCAAGUCGAACGAGACCUUCGGGUCUAGUGCCGCACGGGUGCGUAACGCGUGGGAACCUGCCCUUAGGUUCGGAAUAACCCCCCGAAAGGGGUGCUAAUACCGGAUAAUGUCUUCGGACCAAAGAUUUAUCGCCUUUGGAUGGGCCCGCGUUGGAUUAGCUAGUUGGUAGGGUAAAAGCCUACCAAGGCGACGAUCCAUAGCUGGUCUGAGAGGAUGAUCAGCCACACUGGGACUGAGACACGGCCCAGACUCCUACGGGAGGCAGCAGUGGGGAAUAUUGGACAAUGGGCGAAAGCCUGAUCCAGCAAUGCCGCGUGAGUGAUGAAGGCCUUAGGGUUGUAAAGCUCUUUUACCCGGGAUGAUAAUGACAGUACCGGGAGAAUAAGCUCCGGCUAACUCCGUG